rnacentral:rRNA from 1 species
AGAGUUUGAUCCUGGCUCAGAUUGAACGCUGGCGGCAGGCCUAACACAUGCAAGUCGGACGGUAACAGGAAGCAGCUUGCUGCUGGGGGGACGAGUGGCGGGGUGGGGGUUAAUGUGUGGGGAAGGUCGUGUUGGAGUGGGAUAGCUACGUGAAACGGUAGCUAAUACCGGAUAAUGUCGCAAGACCAAAGAGGGGGACCUUCGGGCCUCUUGCCAUCGGAUGUUGUCAGAUGGGAUUAGCUUGUUGGUGAGGUAACGGCUCACCAAGGCGACGAUCCCUAGCUGGUCUGAGAGGAUGACCAGCCACACUGGAACUGAGACACGGUACAGACUCCUACGGGAGGCAGCAGUGGGGAAUAUUGCACAAUGGGGGAAACCCUGAUGCAGCCAUGCCGCGUGUGUGAAGAAGGCCUUCGGGUUGUAAAGCACUUUCAGCGGGGAGGAAGGGGUUAAGGUUAAUAACCUUAGCCAUUGACGUUACCCGCAGAAGAAGCACCGGCUAACUCCGUGCCAGCAGCCGCGGUAAUAC